CGGCGGACGGGUGAGUAACGCGUGGGUAACCUGCCUCAUACAGGGGGAUAACAGUUGGAAACGGCUGCUAAUACCGCAUAAGCGCACAGUACCGCAUGGUACGGUGUGAAAAACUCCGGUGGUAUGAGAUGGACCCGCGUCUGAUUAGGUAGUUGGUGGGGUAACGGCCUACCAAGCCGACGGUCAGUAGCCGACCUGAGAGGGUGACCGGCCACAUUGGGACUGAGACACGGCCCAA
rnacentral:rRNA from 1 species